rnacentral:rRNA from 1 species
GAGGAAUUUUGCGCAAUGCGGGAAACCGUGACGCAGCAAUGCCGCGUGCAGGAAGACGGCCUUCGGGUUGUAAACUGCUUUUCUAAAGGAAGAUUAUGACGGUACUUUAGGAAUAAGAACUUGCUAACUACGUGCCAGCAGCAGCGGUAAUACGUAGAGUUCAAGCGUUAUCCGGAUUUAUUGGGCGUAAAGGGUCCGUAGGCGGGUCUAUAAGUUUGACGUUAAAGAUCUUGGCUCAACCAAGGGAAUGUGUCGAAAACUGUAGAUCUAGAGGUCGGGAGAGGUUGAUGGAACUUCUGGAGUAGGGGUAAUAUCCGUAGAUACCAGAAGGAACACCGAAGGCGAAGGCAGUCAACUGGCCCGAUUCUGACGCUCAUGGACGAAAGCGUGGGGAGCGAACGGGAUUAGAUACCCCGGUAGUCCACGCCGUAAACGAUGAAUGCUAAACAUUGGUGGCAUCGACCCCCUCAGUGUUGAAGCUAACGCGUUAAGCAUUCCGCCUGGGGAGUACGGUCGCAAGACUA